rnacentral:rRNA from 1 species
GAUGAACGCUGGCGGCGUGCCUAACACAUGCAAGUCGAGCGAACAGACGAGGAUCUUGUGCCGUGCACGUUAGCGGCGGACGUGUGUGUAACACGUGUAUACCCCCCUUGAAUUUCGGGUAAAUUCAGGGAAAUCGGGCUAAAAUCCGGUAGAAUCUCCCGAUCCGUAGGGUUCGUUGGAAAAAUACGGCUUUUGGGUCUGUACUAGCGGCUCAUGCGCCGUAUUGGCUGGUUGGUAGGGUCACGGCCUAUCAAGGCAACGAUACGUAGACGAAGUGAGAGGGUGAUAGGCUACCCUGGAGCUGAGACAGGGUCCAUGCUCCUACGGGAGGCAGCAGUAGGGAAUGUUACGCAAUGGGCGAAAGCAUGACAGAGCAACGCCGCGUGAGUGAUGACGGUCUUCGGUUCGUAAAGCUCUGUUAUUGGGGAAGAACAGACGUGGAAGUUGCUGUAGCCGUCUUGACGGUACCUAAUCAAAAAGCCACGGCUAACUACGUG